GGGCCAUUGGCGGCAGCUACCAUGCAGUCGAACGAUGAUGCCCAGCUUGCUGGGUGGAUUAGUGGCGAACGGGUGAGUAACACGUGAGUAACCUGCCCCUGACUCUGGGAUAAGCGUUGGAAACGACGUCUAAUACUGGAUAUGACUGCCGGCCGCAUGGUCUGGUGGUGGAAAGAUUUUUUGGUUGGGGAUGGACUCGCGGCCUAUCAGCUUGUUGGUGAGGUAAUGGCUCACCAAGGCGACGACGGGUAGCCGGCCUGAGAGGGUGACCGGCCACACUGGGACUGAGACACGGCCCAGACUCCUACGGGAGGCAGCAGUGGGGAAUAUUGCACAAUGGGCGAAAGCCUGAUGCAGCAACGCCGCGUGAGGGAUGACGGCCUUCGGGUUGUAAACCUCUUUUAGUAGGGAAGAAGCGAAAGUGACGGUACCUGCAGAAAAAGCACCGGCUAACUACGUGCCAGCAGCCGCGGUAAUACGUAGGGUGCAAGCGUUGUCCGGGAAAUUAUUUGGGCGUAAAGAGCUCGUAGGGCGGUUUGUCGCGUCUGCUGUGAAAUCCCGAGGCUCAACCUCGGGCUUGCAGUGGGUACGGGCAGACUAGAGUGCGGUAGGGGAGAUUGGAAUUCCUGGUGUAGCGGUGGAAUGCGCAGAUAUCAGGAGGAACACCGAUGGCGAAGGCAGAUCUCUGGGCCGUAACUGACGCUGAGGAGCGAAAGCGUGGGGAGCGAACAGGAUUAGAUACCCUGGUAGUCCACGCCGUAAACGUUGGGCGCUAGAUGUAGGGACCUUUCCACGGUUUCUGUGUCGUAGCUAACGCAUUAAGCGCCCCGCCUGGGGAGUACGGCCGCAAGGCUAAAACUCAAAGGAAUUGACGGGGGCCCGCACAAGCGGCGGAGCAUGCGGAUUAAUUCGAUGCAACGCGAAGAACCUUACCAAGGCUUGACAUACACCGGAAACGGCCAGAGAUGGUCGCCCCCUUGUGGUCGGUGUACAGGUGGUGCAUGGUUGUCGUCAGCUCGUGUCGUGAGAUGUUGGGUUAAGUCCCGCAACGAGCGCAACCCUCGUUCUAUGUUGCCAGCGCGUUAUGGCGGGGACUCAUAGGAGAGUGCCGGGGUCAACUCGGAGGAAGGUGGGGAUGACGUCAAAUCAUCAUGCCCCUUAUGUCUUGGGCUUCACGCAUGCUACAAUGGCCGGUACAAAGGGCUGCGAUACCGUAAGGUGGAGCGAAUCCCAAAAAGCCGGUCUCAGUUCGGAUUGAGGUCUGCAACUCGACCUCAUGAAGUCGGAGUCGCUAGUAAUCGCAGAUCAGCAACGCUGCGGUGAAUACGUUCCCGGGCCUUGUACACACCGCCCGUCAAGUCAUGAAAGUCGGUAACACCCGAAGCCGGUGGCCUAACCCUUGUGGAAGGAGCCGUCGAAGGUGAUUACGGAUGU
rnacentral:rRNA from 1 species